AAUUAUAUCGUCUAUGUUAGUACACGACUAAUUGUACACAAAUUCUACAACUGCGGAGUUCACUAACAGAUGUAUACAGACAAGCCUUCGGACAUUUAUCUAUUUAAUAGAUCAAAACUAAAAUUAGAGAAUUUCUUUUAACCAGCGAAAGAGCAGAGCUAUAGCUAGAAUUUAGAAAAUGCUACUUCCUGAAAGAUUUAAACAAAAGAGAUGUGAGUUUUCUAAGGAGUAAUAUUUAUUGCACAACACACGCAUUCACACAAAUGUAUAAAUAUAUCAAUCUAGUCAUCCGACUAGUUAUAUGCUCACACAGCCAGUCACACAAAUGGCAUAUCACCAGCACUCACAAUUAUUAACAUCUUCAUAUAAUCACAUCACGUGGAAAUUAGUCAGUGGAGUCACCGAACCCCCGAUGAGCCGUCCUCCCACAUGGCCCAUCCUCUCAUAACGUGUGCACCAGGGAGCCGAUCCCCCAUACGGCCAACUGGUCUAAUCCUCACUGACCAGUCCUCUCAUUGUUUUUCCCAUUCUCUCUUUUCUUUUCCAUACCAACAGGAGGCAACCCGGUCGUCUCCAUCAAAUCUAGAUCAUCAGGCGCUCACAACAGGAGGCCACCCUGCGGGCUGCGAUCAAAUCUAGAUUAUCCGGUGCGCCCAAUAAAGAANNN
rnacentral:lncRNA from 1 species